CGUCCGCAAAGCCCCCGAUUUGUGUUCGGUCUGCUGGAUUUCGGACAACUGAACUGGUCUGCGAACCGACAGGGUACCAUGUUGAACGAUAAACUGCGUCUAAACAGCUACACCCGGACAUAUACGGGUGUUUUGAGGGUCCGCGUUGAAAUGCCCUGUAACCCAAUCCAUCCGUGCGGCGCAAGAUAAUCAUGGCAAGUUGCCAGUAGUACACGACAUAAGUUGAAUUCACAGAUCUUUAAAAUCUACCGUAACUUUAAUCGACAAAGCUAAUUUCCAGUCGGCUGGAUUUUUGCAACAAAUCCGAACGCUCUGGAUGCCGUCCGUUAUAGAUCGUACGACCAUCGCGCACCGAAACAUGUAGUUCACUGAUAUUUACAAGCCUUGCCACCGCCUAGUGAAAAAAACUGCUUCGUCCGUCUCUCUUCUUCGAAUCCCCACACAGCGUCCUCCCAAGCCGGCCGCCGCGGAAGAAGCCGCCGCCGUCCGAGCACUCUUCGAAGGCCCCCUCCAGGAGCGCGACCAUCCCGUCCGCCUGGCCGGCCCGCUCCCCGUAUCCUCCCCCACGCUCCCCACCACCGGCGCUGAGACCGAGUCAUCCGGCGACGACGAGGCCGCAUCUGAAUCCGGCGACUCCUCACGCCCCGCGCGCGCCCGCCGCGACCUGUGGUGAGUGUGUGAGUGGUUCCGAUGCACUAGUCUCUCUCCAUAUUCUCUUCGAUCCAGUGCUAGCUGAUCUGAUCCCGACGGUUGUCUCUGUUGUUGUCCGCGAGGGGCCGGGCGAGCGGGGUGCGCAGUGGAUGGAGUUCGUCUCGUGGGAGCCAAGGGCGUUCGUCUACCACAAGUUCCUGAUUUCUUAGCAAGAUCAGACAGACAAAAAGGAAGAUUCACACAAGAUACAACAUGGGUGUCAAGGUGCGCAUAGGUGCAUUCACAAAGAGAAUUCUGAAGCUUCAUGGCGUGCCCCACCAGACCACGUUGUCGACGAGUGCGUCCGUCACCACUCCCUUCGCCAUCGUGGCUCACAUUUUUUGUUCUACAACAGUUGAUGUAGCGUCUUUCACUGAUUCUUCCACUGUUUAGACUACCAACACGACUCUUAUGUAAUUAUCAUGGUGCUAAUGCUAUAGUUAUCAGGGUGUUAAUGAUAUAUUUAUCACACUUGCUUAUGCUAAAAUUACCAUGUUGAAUUUUUCAAUGGAGACAUAUAUGUUUUUAA